rnacentral:tRNA from 1 species
GGAAGAUUAGCCUAAUAGGUAAGGCAGUAGCUUGCUAAGCUAUGACCGCAAGGUUUAUGAGUUCGAAUCUCAUAUCUUCCG